AAACACGAAACAAGGCUAAGAAAUACACAUGUAUUAUUGAUGGGGCAAAUGCAAAUCACUUGAAGCACUUGGCAUCCAAAAGCGGUUCACCCUCGAAUGGCUCGUAGUUUUCUAUCAUCUGAUUCACACGCUCUUUCUGGGCCUCAUCCGAGAUGUCGACCUUCUUCCACUCGUAAAGUUCCAUGUC